CCUACGGGAGGCUGCAGUGAGGAAUAUUGGUCAAUGGACGAGAGUCUGAACCAGCCAAGUAGCGUGAAGGAUGACUGCCCUAUGGGUUGUAAACUUCUUUUAUAUAGGAAUAAAAUGUUCCACGUGUGGGAUUUUGUAUGUACCAUAUGAAUAAGGAUCGGCUAACUCCGUGCCAGCAGCCGCGGUAAUACGGAGGAUCCGAGCGUUAUCCGGAUUUAUUGGGUUUAAAGGGAGCGUAGGUGGAUUGUUAAGUCAGUUGUGAAAGUUUGCGGCUCAACCGUAAAAUUGCAGUUGAUACUGGCAGUCUUGAGUACAGUAGAGGUGGGCGGAAGUCGUGGUGUAGCGGUGAAAUGCUUAGAUAUCACGAAGAACUCCGAUUGCGAAGGCAGUUCACUGGACUGCAACUGACACUGAGGCUCGAAAGUGUGGGUAUCAAACAGGAUUAGAUACCCCGGUAGUC
rnacentral:rRNA from 1 species